GUCUCAUGGUUUAGUGGUUAGCACGUUCGUCUAGCACCUCCAGGGUCGGGGGGUUCAAUUCCCACCUGUGCACA